rnacentral:rRNA from 1 species
GUCGCAAGACCAAAGUGGGGGACCUUCGGGCCUCAUGCCAUCAGAUGUGCCCAGAUGGGAUUAGCUAGUAGGUGGGGUAACGGCUCACCUAGGCGACGAUCCCUAGCUGGUCUGAGAGGAUGACCAGCCACACUGGAACUGAGACACGGUCCAGACUCCUACGGGAGGCAGCAGUGGGGAAUAUUGCACAAUGGGCGCAAGCCUGAUGCAGCCAUGCCGCGUGUAUGAAGAAGGCCUUCGGGUUGUAAAGUACUUUCAGCGGGGAGGAAGGCGAUAAGGUUAAUAACCUUGUCGAUUGACGUUACCCGCAGAAGAAGCACCGGCUAACUCCGUGCCAGCAGCCGCGGUAAUACGGAGGGUGCAAGCGUUAAUCGGAAUUACUGGGCGUAAAGCGCACGCAGGCGGUCUGUCAAGUCGGAUGUGAAAUCCCCGGGCUCAACCUGGGAACUGCAUUCGAAACUGGCAGGCUAGAGUCUUGUAGAGGGGGGUAGAAUUCCAGGUGUAGCGGUGAAAUGCGUAGAGAUCUGGAGGAAUACCGGUGGCGAAGGCGGCCCCCUGGACAAAGACUGACGCUCAGGUGCGAAAGCGUGGGGAGCAAACAGGAUUAGAUACCCUGGUAGUCCACGCCGUAAACGAUGUCGAUUUGGAGGUUGUGCCCUUGAGGCGUGGCUUCCGGAGCUAACGCGUUAAAUCGACCGCCUGGGGAGUACGGCCGCAAGGUUAAAACUCAAAUGAAUUGACGGGGGCCCGCACAAGCGGUGGAGCAUGUGGUUUAAUUCGAUGCAACGCGAAGAACCUUACCUGGUCUUGACAUCCACAGAACUUAGCAGAGAUGCUUUGGUGCCUUCGGGAACUGUGAGACAGGUGCUGCAUGGCUGUCGUCAGCUCGUGUUGUGAAAUGUUGGGUUAAGUCCCGCAACGAGCGCAACCCUUAUCCUUUGUUGCCAGCGGUUCGGCCGGGAACUCAAAGGAGACUGCCAGUGAUAAACUGGAGGAAGGUGGGGAUGACGUCAAGUCAUCAUGGCCCUUACGACCAGGGCUACACACGUGCUACAAUGGCAUAUACAAAGAGAAGCGACCUCGCGAGAGCAAGCGGACCUCAUAAAGUAUGUCGUAGUCCGGAUUGGAGUCUGCAACUCGACUCCAUGAAGUCGGAAUCGCUAGUAAUCGUAGAUCAGAAUGCUACGGUGAAUACGUUCCCGGGCCUUGUACACACCGCCCGUCACACCAUGGGAGUGGGUUGCAAAAGAAGUAGGUAGCUUAACCUUCGGGAGGGCGCUUACCACUUUGUGAUUCAUGACUGGGGUGAAGUCGUAACAAGGUAACCGUAGGGGAACCUGCGGUUGGAUCACCUCCUUACCUUAAAGAA